rnacentral:lncRNA from 1 species
AAUGUCUUCAAGAGUUCUACCUAAUCUCUGUUCCAGAACUUGGAAUAAAUCUUCAGGCCUAUGAAAUACAUUCCUGGAAGAGGAGUAGGCAAAUGAGACGGUACAUCUCUGACAUCAGUCUCUGACUUCUGAAGUAAUGAAAAAAAAAAGGAAGAACAUCUGCAUUCACUGGGAUCUUGAUCUGCAAGUAACAGAAAACCCAACUAACAGUAUUUUAUGACCAGUAGAGAUUUGUUAUCCAUAUAUCACAGUAAAUCUGAGGAUUAAUAGUACCUACCAUUAUUUUCCCCUUUCAACAAAAUCAUUAUGCUUGCCUACUUCCGCCUGGUGGCUUGGGGCUCUAUACUCACAUGGUACUUUCUAAAGUUCAAAUACUGCAUCUAUGUUUUAAGAAUGAAAAGGCAAAAGGACCAGAGGAAAAGGAGUGUACAAAAAUGAAUGUGUUACAUUUAGAGAUUUAAAAGCAUUCCAGAAAGCAUCACCACCUGACUACCAUUCAUAAUUCGCUGGACAGAAAAAGGCUUAGUGGUACAUGUACCAACUCUUCACAAGGAAUGUAAAUAUUAUGCAUAACAAACA